GAAAAACUUUGAAACACAGAAUAUAUAUUUGAACAAUAACUUUUGGUAUUUAAAGUAGUUUUUAUAUAACUUGCCCGUCUUUCUUUGUGCAUCUUGGAAAAAUAUUAAAGUCUGAAUUUUGAUCUUAAAAGUGUACAUGGACCUGAUCCCUCCUGGGGGUUGACUCUUUGUGGAAAAUUGUGAGUAAACAUCUCCUUCUUAAGCAUGGACAUUUUCAUUUGUUUUUAUUUGCUGACUUAAAGCUCCGGUGAGGAACUUUUGGUUUGUAUCAGUUUUAGCGCCUUCUGUGGACAAAGCAGAUUUUACAUGCAUAAAAAUGCAACCCUGCUGACUUAUAACAGUCAUGAAUUUAAUUUCAUUUUGAAUAUUUAAGCUGUUUCUUCAGGUGCUUGGCUGACACCUACCCCUCUCACACUUCACUUUCAGGCUUUAAAACCUUAAAAUAAAAGUCAACUAAGGCUACAUUCAUACUGCAGGUUAUGAUGCACAAUUCGGAUUUUUUUGUUUAAUCUGAUCUUUUGUGCGGUUGUUCACAUUACAACAACGAAUGCAGCAUCUGAUGUGAACGGAAUGCAUCCGUGAAGUGACCCGCAUGCACACAACUGGCUGUUCUCCAUACCCUCGUCCGCCAUUGCGUUCCACGCCUGCUUGUGUUGUCGAACAAUGGUGACGUUUGUCGCAUAUUAAUGACGUAUAGGUCGGAUUAACGCAACCUGAGCGUCCACACUGCAGUCACAUCGGAUAUAUAUUCGAUUUAUAUCCACAUACAAAAGAGGCCUGGGUCAGAUUUGAAAAAUAAAAAUUGCACUGUUCACACUUACAUGAAAAAAUCUGAUAUGUGUCACAUAUGGUUAAAAAAUCAAAAUUCACCUGCAGUGUGAACAUAGCCUAAUAGUCUUGUUUGCUUUUGUAUAAUAUGAGAAGGCAUCAGUAUAAGUUUGGGGGCUCUAUUUUGGUGCUUCGCCGGAGACGUGCCGCAAGCGCAGAGUCAAUCAGAUCCGCCGCGCUGACAAGGCGUUCCCAAGCACAUUUUGGUAUUUUGGUGAGCCGCGCAGCCCGGCGUAAGUAUCCCCCCUCCCUAACUCAGCUCCUCCCGGCAGCAUAAAUCAUAGACGGGGAGGAGAGGGGGUUUAACACAGCCGAGACCUGUUUUCACCAAUCACAUUAGCUCCUCUCCUCGCCUUUAAAUCCGCCACAGGCGAGGCGUAUUACUAUUUUCAUGAAGUAGUCAAAGAGAUCAAGAGAUGUCUGAAGACAGUUAUGUCACACGAUGGCGACAGAAGGCAGCUGCUCAACAAGUGUCCUCCACACUCUCUCAUCUGAGCACAGAUGGAUUUGGUGUGCGUAAUGUUGGACCCACUGGUAAGACAAACACCCUUUUCCACAAAUAAAGACACUCACAUAAAGUUGCAUAUAUUCAAACCUCACGUGACAAAGGUGGGUUGAGCGCACAGAUCACAACAUAAACUCCAAAAAGGCAUUAAAAUCGGAACCAUCUGUGCGUAAAUGACGCAUCGCGCUCCGUGGCCUGGCUCUUUCUUUCAUAGAUGUUGGCAUAUAAAAUAAAUUUGGCUCACAAAACUGAAUAUUAUAAUAUCCGUAUGUCGGCUUAAAGUAGAUCACGCAUCUGAGCACUGAAACAAAUCAUCUGUUCAGCCGCAGCAGCAGCAGGAAGACGGACAGAGGACACGGAGACGUGUCCAGGUCGAGCUGUGCGAGAAAUAAGAGGAAGAAAGAAAAGGAGGGAGACACAUUACAUAUCUUGUUAACUUCAUCAUGUGCGUUUAUUUACUAGAUAUUUAAUUUAAUUUGAUGCAGUUUCAGCUGUAUUGAUUCGGUCAGGUUGUGUGUCCAAACGCGUGCCAAACGCGCUCAUCAGAUCAGAUAUAGAUCAGAAUAUAUCGAUAUAGAUCUAAAUGUAUGUGCUGACUCAGAUUAAUAGUUGUUGAUGAUUAUUUAUUGCACUGAAAUCUGCCUGACACUGUGGAAACCUGCCGGUGAGGCAUCAGUGACGUAUGUCGAUACGCUGCCGGUCUACCAAAAUACUACUGGACCAGCUGCGUUCCGCCUUGCGCUGAAAGCUGACCAGGUUUGAAUCGGCGAGCUUUCAGCGCACGUUACACGCCAGUGGCGAGCACGAAAAUGUCACUGCGCCAGCUGAUUCUGUCAACACCUCCCCCUGCCACGCCACCACGCCCAGCUUGGCGGAUCUCGGCUCGCCUCCGUGCGACUCAGUCCACGAAAAUACCAAACUCGCCUUACACCGGGCUCCGCCAGACGAAAAUACAACUGCGCGGGGCUCGCCGCCCUCCGCCGCCUCACCGGCGCGAACGAAAAUAGAGCCCUAAGUCUUUAUAUCUAUGUCAAAAAAAUUCCUCACAGGAGCUCAAAGUGUCCGAAUGUAUCAUUAAAGUUUCUGUUCUUGUGUUUUCGUUUUAUCUUCUUGUUUUUGUUGAGAAAAAUAACUGUCAGUAAACUAAUGCUGCUUAUCCUGCUUUUCCUUUACAUGUUAUUGAUGUGUUACUGCUGUUGUUCUAAUUUAAUCCAUGACAGUAUGAAUUGCCACUAUUUCUGUGUUUGCUUGUUCUAUUAAAUUAAUUUUGUGCUCAUAAACGGGCCAAAUUCCCCAUCAAAUCAAUGUAAUUAUAUAAAAACAGUCAUAUUUGCUCAGCGAUUGCAAACCCUUUUAAUGGUCUCAUGGAGCUGUGGGGUAAGGAUGGAUUUGAGGCUGACUCUGACAUGUCAAAUUGUAAGAAAUGAGGACAACAUUAAUCUGGUCUUGCAUUGAAAACCUUUCGUGUCAUGUUGCCCUUCAUCUGCCUGGUUGUCGGUGUCUUUCCUGAAAUCUCUGCUACAUUACUGACAGCACCGGUCAGGAAAAAAACAAAUGUUCCGCAGCAGAUGGUCUCAUCUGGCUAAUCAGAGUUUCACAUCUCAGUCUGAAUUUUCUUCCUCUUCUUGCAUCUCUUCCUCCUCCAGAAUAUCUCUGUAAAAUCUGUGAUUUUGUUCUUUAAACUUCCUCCUUGUUUGGACAAAUAUCUCUUGCACUUGUCUAUCCGUUACAUGAAGUCAGACUGUUUCUCUGCCUCACAAACAUGGUUUAGUAGAUAGGGGAAAUAUUUUGAAGUCUUGCAGCCUUGCAGUGUGCGUGGGAGUUAUAUUCCACUCUAUUUUUCAUGACCCCUCCCAUGGUAAUACCUUAUUAAAGUGGAAUUUUGUAAUUUAAUGUAAUGGAAUAGCUGUAAUUGGAUUAGUAUAUGAUUACAGCUAUUACACUUAUCUGCAAAGCUGCUUCUGAAAUCUCUUAAAUGUUCCACUCACUAACACUGGUUGGUCCCCCGGCAGAUCAAAUGCAAAGGCUCUAGGAAGCAUAUCAUUUUCACAUUCCUGCACGGAUAUGUGAUGACUUAAAAAAAUCACUGAUAGCUACCAUUAAUACAUUACAGCUCAGCACAGAAAGCACGUUAUGACAAGAGAGUAAAAUAAAGCUUUUAUUUCCACACCGCCGCCGACUUUUUGAAACCACACAAAGAGCUAUGAGUGGCGUCAAGGCUGCUGCCACCUGCCUCUCCAUCUCUGGCACGUCCACACAGUUUCCUGCUGCCUGCUGCAGGAAUUAAGGAGGAGAUUUGGAGAGCCUGGGCAGAUGUAACAGCUGAGUUGACAUUAGCCUGUGUGGGACAACAUGCAGCUCAGAUAGAGGGGGAGAGGAACGCUCUGCACCGGUAACAGGGAGGCUUAAGGAUGUGGCCUGCUUCAUUAUGUCCCAGACAAGCUUCUUGACUUGCCAGCCAAACUAUAUUUUCUGCCUGCUGCCCACAUGUACUAGAGGAUGAGAUAGAGGCCUGGUCUGUCCAGGUGUGACAAUUUACUAGACCUGCAAAUUUUAACAGCAUGCAUUGACCUCUGGCUAAACCAGAUGCCAACUGUGAGGUACACACAACAUAAAUUCAAAUACAACCCUAAGUCUGAGGCAGCUGGGACACUGUGAAAAAGGCUGAUAAAAACAGACUGGUGGUUUGGCAUUUGUGUAACUUUAAUUUUGAUUAAAAAGCACAAAGACAACACAUCAAAUGUAAAACACAAAUAUUGAGUGCUGGAUACUCAUUUAAAUCUGAUUCCACCAACACAUUUAAAAGAAAAUCGGUCAUGGGCGUCAUUGUCAUAAUAAUAAUAAUAAUAAUAAUAAUAAUAAUAAUAAUAUAUUUUUUAUAUAGCACUUAUCAAAACCAAGUUAAAAGGUGUUUUACAAAAACAUCAAAUUUCAGCAGUGAAAAACACAAUUUAAAAAAUAUAAAAGUAGUGGCUACAAGUUGUCGUCUAUUGUGUUGCCGCCCCUCUUUGUAAAUAUUAAGGAGUAGGUUUGGAGCUGCUCCACAGUUCAAGGUCUUCUUUGGAGUACUUUUUGCCCCAUCAGAAUUGCAGACAGGCUAGCUUAGCACCUGGAACCAAACUGUUGUAAUAUCUGCAUAAAGUAGUUUGAAAACGAUUGAAAUAUCAGACCAGUUUUCUACUUAAAUGUUGGGUUUAAAUGGUUUGCAUACAAUCAAACUGCACUUUUAUAUGUACCAACUUGCUUGGGUGUUGGGAUCUCAAAUUGGGGCCUGGGUAACCUGGGAACUUGUCUUCACUCACCAAAACGAGGGGUGUCAGGGUGUCUUGUCAAAAACCAGAGAUGGAUUUUAUUAACAACACAUCGCCCAAGUGAAAAAUAAGCUCCAAAGUGACAUUUAAUCAACUAUUUAAUACUUGUUGGCAGGUCUCAGGGCUCUGCUUUAUAUCUGAGGUAUGACUGACAUACACCGUCCAUCAGGAUGAGCAUUCGCUGUCCAAGAGGAUCACAUCUGCUCUCUCUUCACGCUGUUUUAGGAUAUCUUUCUCUGUCUGCACAGAAGUCUAAUAAAACAAGAAAUAUGAUUACUUUAAAUUCCACAAGAGCAGGAUUGAUCUCCUGUGAGGAUAAUAUUACUACAAAUUUCCUCAUAUGCUAAUUAAUCCUCCUACCAGUUGCCCUGUUUUGCAUAUGAAACCGCGGAUAGAAACAGAGUUCUUCUCUUUAUUUCAGUUUUUUUUGACCACGCGAGGGCAAGUUGUAGAGCACCAAGUUUGUAACGAUAACUCUGAAUCUAAAAAUGUAAUAUUCAUUGAGGUUAUGGGCCCUUGUGUCCUAAUCUGAGAACGCAACAGAAUUGAAUUUGUUCGAGUUUAUGGACUUAAAAUAUUUGCUCUCUGCACUUGAAGCCCCUCUGGGACUCUGAAUAAAUGACGCAAACUCCCACCUACACUCCCUCAAAAUUUAAAUGAUCACACUUAUCUUUGUUAUUUCCAUCCAGAUGGACUUUCACAUGCAUAGAGAGCACAGGGGUUUGGAUUUUCACCCUGCAAAUGGGCACAAGCCGGCAGUUUAAUGGCGCAAUAACAUUGUUAAUAAAGCUUAUAACUGCCUUUGUUUUGUGUAUAAUCUGUUACAACAAACAUUAUAUAGUAAAGUAGCUGCACAGGGACCCAAAUGCUUCUAAUGGACUGACUAAUGGUCGGCUGCAGAUUUACAAGACUCCUGUUCACGUGUGGGUUUUUGAAGAGCAGAGCUACAAAAGGUUUCAUACACAAUCUACCGGCCCUGUUAAAUCUGAAUGCUUCCUCCCUCACACACACACACACACACACACACACACACACACACGGAUGAAAUCUGGAGUAAACAGAGCAGCAUCUGCACCAAACUAUUUCCAUCUGUGCUCGCACACUGUUUCUGACAGUUGCAGGUUGGAGGGCUUUGAUAGGCUUCACUCUGUGUUCCCGAUCAGAUUCCAAAAUAUGCUCAGGACUUAGAGGUGCAUCUAGUGCCUGAUGACUUAAACCCAACCCUAGAGACAUGCAGGGAAAUUACAGCAUCUCUGAUAAAUCUUUGCAGCUAGCUUGACUCGAAAGGAGGAGUUUGGGGUUUUUAGUGGGGUUACAUGAGGUACCCAUCCAUAGAAAUACUACAAGGAAGGUAAGCUAUGGAGCAGAGCUGAUUGGUGUUUAGAUGAAGCAGUUUGGGAUUAUACAUUUAUGUUUUUAUAACAUGCAGGUCUUCUUUUUGUGGCUCAGAUAUGGAGUCUUCAUUACCAUCGACCUGUACUGCAAGCAACACUUCAUGUUCAUAUUUCUUGUCUUUGGUUUUGUUUUAACACUGACUUAUCUUGGAUUCCCCUUUUAAACAAUGACACAACAGUUCCUUUUUUUUGAUGUGAAAAAGAAUCACACUUUAUGACAAUUAUGGCUGUCGUUUUCUAAUUUGAAAGACUUCAAAUUUAGUUAAUAAUGGUUUUAAGUAAUUCAUUACGGAUUAGUAUGUGGUUGAUCUUUAAAGCUCUGCCCACAUGACUUGGGAGGGACCACCAGGCAGGAUGUAAGAAGCAGAUACUGGCACUUUGUACCGUUAAUUUCUGGUGUAGUUAAUUUCACAGGUUGUGUUGGUGUUUUUUUAGUCACUUAAAAGCUACAUGAGAGACAUGACGCAGAUCAGAUGGGUCAAGUUGCUUGGACGUUUCUUGUGGUGUUCCACAGGGGUCAGUCUUUGGACUCAAAUUGUUCAUUUUGUAGAUAAAUAGUAAAGGUAAGGUGUCUGGUUUUCUAAAAUCAUUGUCUAUGCAGUUGACAAAUGUUUUAUGUUCUGAAGAUGAUCUGCAGCAACUUUAAGAGAAAGUCAAGAAGCCUUGUUUUUACGAUAUAAACAUGCAAUACUAAAAUAAAUGAUAUGUUUGACUGUCAGAAGUCUGUCAGAAAAGAGGACAAAAUAUGCAAAGACGCAAAAAUUUACAAAAACUGGAAAUUUGUCACAAAAGCUUUAGACUUCUUAGUUUCAUUUAUUGUUUUUGUUGUAAAGUUAGAUCAGGACAUCUCGAGUUUUCUAGAUAUGCUAGCAAUAAAAGUCUUGAUUUAUUUCAAUGUCAUAAUAAAAUUCCACUGCAAAUGAAUGCAUUUAAUAGGAAUACUUCUUCAUGAGCAGCUCUUACUUUAAGAGAGUGAACCUUUAAGAUGUGGGUGUCCUGAAAUGCCAGGGGACUUUGGGGAGUUUUAGCUUUAAAACUGAGUAAAAGGCAGGAAAUGAGUUUUUCAAAGCACAACCCCAUCAAACCUCUGCUGAAAUAUUACAGUUAUUCUCUGCUAUUGGACGGUAAAAAUAUACUUAUUGCCCCUGAGCGGGAUAGUCUCUAAUGAGUGUUUUUUUUUUAAAGAGCUGGGAGUCUUUUCUUCAGGUAUAAAAACCUUGUCCUCCUUGGCUGUGAGGAGGGAAACUUGUGAGGGUUGUUUGAGAAACUUCAGGUCAUAAUUUUGGCUAAAUAAAAAAAUAAGGGCUAUUCUGCGUUUGUUUCUACAGAGAUGCAGCUGCUUUUAAUCUGGAUCUGGAAAGCUUUUGUGCUUGAUCAUGCUUCCCUCAAAAAUUUCAGAUCCCUUUCAGAAAUUAUUUGUCGUUUCUUUUUAAUGAGCAAAUGGCACAAACAGAUAUGCAAAUGCUAAUUGAAAGAUCAGACGAAGCAUUUCAGCAUGAGACCUUGUAAGCUGACGUGAAGAUGAAAAUCAGAGGCUGCAGUUGCUGCAUAAUGACUGCUGGUGAGAUCCCUGCAGAGUUAGAAACAAAACAUCUGCUUCCUCUGGAUAUAUUCUUCUCUCUGCUUCACAUUUUUGCAUCCUAACACAGUUUUUCUCUCACAUAACCGUAGACAUGGCAUCCUCUUGCCUCUCUGUAAAGUGAUUAUGGCGUCUAUGGCUGCAGCUCUGACCUUCUUAUCAUUGUUUGGAGGAUUAAUCUGCCAGCAGGUCGUGUCUCUGCCUUCCCUUUUUGCUCUGUCUACACGGUGUUAACGAUGCGUCAGCCCGGGCAGCGCUGUCACCGUUUACUUGAGGCUGUAUAGCGAUGAUUCACAUGAGUGAGCCAUUAGGAAAUGGAUGUUUUCAUGACCCUGUGAGGAGGAGAGCGAGUGGGUUGAAAGUGCAGGCUUUACAGAAAGGCAAGGCGCUCUAAUGUGUGUGAGGCAGAAACACUUUUACAGAUCUAUCUUCUUCCUUAUCUUUGGGAUUCAUUAAAACUCUUUCAAAAGUUUGUGCCUUUAGUGAGUAAAAACGUAUGCCAUUAUGGGAAAUCACAAGACAACAAGAGCAGUAAGGGUGCUGCUUUUUUCACAGAUUAACCCUCAGAUGAGGAUUCAGGUCUUCAUCUCGUGUCUGAGCGCCCCUGUUAGGCAUUCAGCCUGUUAAAAGCUCUGUGAAAACAUGAGAAACACUUAGUCCUUGAGAGGAAGGAGCUGUUGUUUACAAAAUGCUUGAGCUUUCAUGGAUCUUGCGUGUUUUCUUCCCUCCAACUCAGACAGCUUUGGGGAAAAAUUGUCUGAGGAGCUAAGAGCACAUUUCUCUGAUCUUCUCCAUUUAAACACUCAAAGGACAUCUUUAGCUCCCUGUGCUUAAUUCAGUACAUCCUCCCCUUUAUGUUUGACUUUACCAGUGUCUGCAAGGUCCUCCUCCUGCUGGGAGGAAAGCCAUGCAGCUGACAUAUUCGCAGUCUGGGCCACAUCUCGGGGCAGUGAUCCCUCCCACUAGGAGCUGAGGUUUGACCCAUCACACACUGGAGGACAGGCAGCGGGCCGGAGAGUUUAUAGAAGUCCACAUGGGAGCUGCCUGCAGGGAAACUACCCCUCCCACUCGUCCUCUGUGCUGUCUCUCUUCUCUUCCCUCUGCUGUGUCCUGCACUGUAAAGGCGUGGCCCCCCUCCCUCCCCCCUCAGGGACCCAUUUGCCAUCUAUAAAGCCUAUUGCUAUGGAAAUAGUGUGUAAUUUCAGGGCCCGUUAACGAUGGGUGUGCAGGCACGCAUAUAGAGCUCCUCUGCUAUCAUCACACAGGAGCAGGAGAGCACCCAGGGCGAAAUCUCAUAUUGGUCUCUCCUUUGCUGGUCUGUGCUGCUGAGACAUGACAUGUAUCACCUGAUGGAGGCAGAAUAAGGGACGGAUGGAUGGACGGAGCUGAGCGAGGGAAGAGAGAUGAGAGGUGGUAUUUAAUGACAGAGUGAGAGUUGGGGGUCUUUAGAGUCUGACUCCCAUCCUGGAAAAGGUUCUGUCCUCCUCUCCUGAGCUAUACCCUCUAAUGAAAAACAGGUGAAGCACUCUGGCACAUGCCAUUUAUUAGAUUUGUAGUGAAUCACCUCUGAUAUCGUCUUCAUUAUGGUGUUGAGUAUGGGUAAGAAUGCAAAAAAAAGCACCAUUUAUACCAUGAACUGAUGAACCCUCUCUUUAUUUGACUGGUGUUGCACUAUGACACCAGAAUACAGAGUAUAGGGAGGUUCUGGAGAAAUUAAUUAUCUGAGCAUUCCGAUUCAAAAUUUUACCUAAAGCAGACUCAUCUGGAGUUUACAGCCAAAAACAGUCAGACAACAUUCAAAAAUAAGGCACACUUUAUUCAACAUGACCAGAUACUGGUUUGCAGAGUGGCUACAGUUAGCAGAGCUAGCACCACCAGCCUUCGAGAUCAAACCAACAAAAAUCACGCUGCCUCCCAAGAUGCCAUUUACUAUUUGUCCUUGUUUACGUCCAGCUAGUAGAGCGUAACAUUAAGGCUGUGUGUUUUGUGUGUGUGUGUUUUCCCCCUUUUGUCUCCCCAUAGAUGCCCAGGUGAAGUCACUGGGUGACAAUCAGACUCACCUGGUGCUGGGACUUUAAAGACCGAGAGCUGCCUGCAGUCUGCAGAGGCAUUUGGUGGGGAACUGCUGCCCUGCUGCCUCACAUUUGUGUUGUG